CUAAGAGCGAAUGGUGGAUGCCUUGACUGGUAAAGGCGAUGAAGGACGUACUAGACUGCGAUAAGCUACGGGGAGCUGUCAAGAAGCUUUGAUCCGUAGAUUUCCGAAUGGGGCAACCCAAUGUAUAGAGAUAUACAUUACCUAUAUAGGAGCGAACGAGGGGAAUUGAAACAUCUUAGUACCCUCAGGAAAAGAAAUCAAUAGAGAUUGCGUCAGUAGCGGCGAGCGAAAGCGCAAGAGGGCAAACCCAGUGCUUGCACUGGGGGUUGUAGGACUGCAAUGUGCAAGAGGUGAGUUUAGCAGAACAUUCUGGAAAGUAUAGCCAUAGAGGGUGAUAGUCCCGUAUGCGAAAAACAAACCUUAGCUAGCAGUAUCCUGAGUAGGGCGGGACACGAGAAAUCCUGUCUGAAGCUGGGUCGACCACGAUCCAACCCUAAAUACUAAUACCAGAUCGAUAGUGCACAAGUACCGUGAGGGAAAGGUGAAAAGAACUGAGGUGAUCAGAGUGAAAUAGAACCUGAAACCAUUUGCUUACAAUCAUUCAGAGCACUAUGUAGCAAUACAGUGUGAUGGACUGCCUUUUGCAUAAUGAGCCUGCGAGUUGUGGUGUCUGGCAAGGUUAAGCAAACGCGAAGCCGUAGCGAAAGCGAGUCUGAAUAGGGCGCUUAGUCAGAUGCUGCAGACCCGAAACGAAGUGAUCUAUCCAUGAGCAAGUUGAAGCUAGUGUAAGAACUAGUGGAGGACUGAACCCAUAGGCGUUGAAAAGCCCCGGGAUGACUUGUGGAUAGGGGUGAAAGGCCAAUCAAACUUCGUGAUAGCUGGUUCUCUCCGAAAUAUAUUUAGGUAUAGCGUUGUGUCGUAAUAUAAGGGGGUAGAGCACUGAAUGGGCUAGGGCAUACACCAAUGUACCAAACCCUAUCAAACUCCGAAUACCUUAUAUGUAAUCACAGCAGUCAGGCGGCGAGUGAUAAAAUCCGUCGUCAAGAGGGAAACAACCCAGACUACCAGCUAAGGUCCCUAAAUCUUACUUAAGUGGAAAACGAUGUGAAGUUACUUAAACAACCAGGAGGUUGGCUUAGAAGCAGCCAUCCUUUAAAGAAAGCGUAAUAGCUCACUGGUCUAGUGAUUUUGCGCGGAAAAUAUAACGGGGCUAAAGUAAGUACCGAAGCUGUAGACUUGACUUUGUCAAGUGGUAGGAGAGCGUUCUAUUUGCGUCGAAGGUAUACCGGUAAGGAGUGCUGGAGCGAAUAGAAGUGAGCAUGCAGGCAUGAGUAGCGAUAAUUAAUGUGAGAAUCAUUAACGCCGUAAACCCAAGGUUUCCUACGCGAUGCUCGUCAUCGUAGGGUUAGUCGGGUCCUAAGUCGAGUCCGAAAGGGGUAGACGAUGGCAAAUUGGUUAAUAUUCCAAUACCAACAUUAGUGUGCGAUGGAAGGACGCUUAGGGCUAAGGGGGCUAGCGGAUGGAAGUGCUAGUCUAAGGUCGUAGGUGCUUAUACAGGCAAAUCCGUAUAAGAAUACACCGAGAACUGAAAGGCUUUUUGAAGUCUUCGGAUGAAUAGAAGAACCCCUGAUGCCGUCGAGCCAAGAAAAGUUUCUAAGUUUAGCUAAUGUUGCCCGUACCGUAAACCGACACAGGUGGGUGGGAUGAGUAUUCUAAGGCGCGUGGAAGAACUCUCUUUAAGGAACUCUGCAAAAUAGCACCGUAUCUUCGGUAUAAGGUGUGGUUCGCUUCGUAUUAGGAUUUACUCCGAAAGCGAAGAAACUUACAACAAAGAGUCCCUCCCGACUGUUUACCAAAAACACAGCACUCUGCUAACUCGUAAGAGGAUGUAUAGGGUGUGACGCCUGCCCGGUGCUCGAAGGUUAAUUGAUGGGGUUAGCAUUAGCGAAGCUCUUGAUCGAAGCCCGAGUAAACGGCGGCCGUAACUAUAACGGUCCUAAGGUAGCGAAAUUCCUUGUCGGUUAAAUACCGACCUGCAUGAAUGGCGUAACGAGAUGGGAGCUGUCUCAAAGAGGGAUCCAGUGAAAUUGUAGUGGAGGUGAAAAUUCCUCCUACCCGCGGCAAGACGGAAAGACCCCGUGGACCUUUACUACAGCUUGACACUGCUACUUGGAUAAGAAUGUGCAGGAUAGGUGGGAGGCUUUGAGUAUAUGACGCCAGUUGUAUAUGAGCCAUUGUUGAGAUACCACUCUUUCUUAUUUGGGUAGCUAACCAGCUUGAGUUAUCCUCAAGUGGGACAAUGUCUGGUGGGUAGUUUGACUGGGGCGGUCGCCUCCCAAAUAAUAACGGAGGCUUACAAAGGUUGGCUCAGAACGGUUGGAAAUCGUUCGUAGAGUAUAAAGGUAUAAGCCAGCUUAACUGCAAGACAUACAAGUCAAGCAGAGACGAAAGUCGGUCUUAGUGAUCCGGUGGUUCUGUGUGGAAGGGCCAUCGCUCAAAGGAUAAAAGGUACCCCGGGGAUAACAGGCUGAUCUCCCCCAAGAGCUCACAUCGACGGGGAGGUUUGGCACCUCGAUGUCGGCUCAUCGCAUCCUGGGGCUGGAGCAGGUCCCAAGGGUAUGGCUGUUCGCCAUUUAAAGCGGUACGCGAGCUGGGUUCAGAACGUCGUGAGACAGUUCGGUCCCUAUCUGCCGUGGGCGUAAGAAGAUUGAAGAGAUUUGACCCUAGUACGAGAGGACCGGGUUGAACAAACCACUGGUGUAGCUGUUGUUCUGCCAAGAGCAUCGCAGCGUAGCUAAGUUUGGAAAGGAUAAACGCUGAAAGCAUCUAAGCGUGAAGCCAACUCUAAGAUGAAUCUUCUCUAAGCUCUCUAGAAGACUACUAGUUUGAUAGGCUGGGUGUGUAAUGGAUGAAAGUCCUUUAGCUGACCAGUACUAAUAGAGCGUUUGGCUUAUCU
rnacentral:rRNA from 1 species